UACGUAGGGGGCUAACGUUAUCCGGAAUUACUGGGCGUAAAGGGUGCGUAGGUGGUUUCUUAAGUCAGAGGUGAAAGGCUACGGCUCAACCGUAGUAAGCCUUUGAAACUGGGGAACUUGAGUGCAGGAGAGGAGAGCGGAAUUCCUAGUGUAGCGGUGAAAUGCGUAGAUAUUAGGAGGAACACCAGUUGCGAAGGCGGCUCUCUGGACUGUAACUGACACUGAGGCACGAAAGCGUGGGGAGCAAACAGG
rnacentral:rRNA from 1 species